GACGAACGCUGGCGGCGUGCUUAACACAUGCAAGUCGAACGGAAAGGCCCUGCUUUUGUGGGGUGCUCGAGUGGCGAACGGGUGAGUAACACGUGAGUAACCUGCCCUUGACUUUGGGAUAACUUCAGGAAACUGGGGCUAAUACCGGAUAGGAGCUCCUGCUGCAUGGUGGGGGUUGGAAAGUUUCGGCGGUUGGGGAUGGACUCGCGGCUUAUCAGCUUGUUGGUGGGGUAGUGGCUUACCAAGGCUUUGACGGGUAGCCGGCCUGAGAGGGUGACCGGCCACAUUGGGACGGGGAUACGGCCCAGACUCCUACGGGGGGCAGCGGGGGGGAAUAUUGCAAAAUGGGCGGAAGCCUGAUGCAGCAACGCCGCGGGGGGGAUGACGGCCUUCGGGUUGUAAACCGUUUUCCCCUGGGACGAAGCGUGAGGGAGGGUAAUGGGUAAAGAAGCACCGGCUAACUACGU
rnacentral:rRNA from 1 species